rnacentral:rRNA from 1 species
GUGAGGAAUAUUGGUCAAUGGGCGAGAGCCUGAACCAGCCAAGUCGCGUGAAGGAUGAAGGUUUUAUGAAUUGUAAACUUCUUUUGCAGGGGAAUAAAGUACGGUACGUGUACCGUUUUGUAUGUACUCUGCGAAUAAGGAUCGGCUAACUCCGUGCCAGCAGCCGCGGUAAUACGGAGGAUCCAAGCGUUAUCCGGAUUUAUUGGGUUUAAAGGGUGCGCAGGCGGGUUGAUAAGUCAGCGGUGAAAGUUUGCAGCUUAACUGUAAAAUUGCCGUUGAAACUGUCGAUAUUGAGUGCAAAUGAGGUAAGCGGAAUGUGUUGUGUAGCGGUGAAAUGCUUAGAUAUAACACAGAACACCGAUUGCGAAGGCAGCUUACUGGGAUGCAACUGACGCUCAUGCACGAAAGCGUGGGGAUCAAACAGGAUUAGAUACCCUGGUAGUCC